AGCGAACGCUGGCGGCAGGCCUAACACAUGCAAGUCGAACGAAGUCUUCGGACUUAGUGGCGGACGGGUGAGUAACACGUGGGAACGUGCCUUUAGGUUCGGAAUAACUCAGGGAAACUUGUGCUAAUACCGAAUGUGCCCUUCGGGGGAAAGAUUUAUCGCCUUUAGAGCGGCCCGCGUCUGAUUAGCUAGUUGGUGGGGUAAUGGCCCACCAAGGCUACGAUCAGUAGCUGGUCUGAGAGGAUGACCAGCCACACUGGGACUGAGACACGGCCCAAACCCCUACGGGAGGCAGCAGUGGGGAAUCUUGCGCAAUGGGCGAAAGCCUGACGCAGCCAUGCCGCGUGGAUGAUGAAGGUCUUAGGAUUGUAAAAUCCUUUCACCGGUGAAGAUAAUGACUGUAGCCGGAGAAGAAGCCCCGGCUAACUUCGUGCCAGCCGCCGCCGUAACAC
rnacentral:rRNA from 1 species